ACAACUAGGAUGUUGGCUUAGAAGCAGCCAUCAUUUAAAGAGUGCGUAAUAGCUAACUAGUCGAGUGACACUGCGCCGAAAAUGUACCGGGGCUAAACAUAUUACCGAAGCUGUGGAUUGUCCUUUGGACAAUGGUAGGAGAGCGUUCUAAGGGCGUUGAAGCAUGAUCGUAAGGACAUGUGGAGCGCUUAGAAGUGAGAAUGC
rnacentral:rRNA from 1 species